rnacentral:rRNA from 1 species
UACGAAGGGGGCUAGCGUUACUCGGAUUGACUGGGCGUAAAGGGCGCGUAGGCGGUUUGUACAGUCAGACGUGAAAUUCCUGGGCUCAACCUGGGGGCUGCGUUUGAUACGUGCAGACUUGAGUUCGGAAGAGGGUCGUGGAAUUCCCAGUGUAGAGGUGAAAUUCGUAGAUAUUGGGAAGAACACCGGUGGCGAAGGCGGCGACCUGGUCCGAUUCUGACGCUGAGGCGCGAAAGCGUGGGGAGCAAACAGG